rnacentral:tRNA from 1 species
GGAGGAAUACCCAAGUGGUUGAAGGGGCUGGCUUGGAAAGCUAGUAGGUCUGUAACAGGGCGCACGGGUUCGAACCCCGUUUCCUCCGCCA